UUGAUAUGCAAUUAACGGCUGCUCGUGUCACCAUCAACUGAGUUUGGACACCAAAUUGUUUUAUAUAUUAUGUAUGCAUCAUUUCAGAGUAGUGUUGGUCUUACACUUUAUUAUUUCCCUGGUUUCCUUGGAGACCUACCACAAUGUGUGAGAUGAUGAGUUCACUUCUUGAAUGGUUAGUAUGUGACUCAACAAUCAGAGGGGAACUUCAGACCUCACACACUCUACAGCCUGAACUCACUCUGUUCACUUGUGCCAGGAGGAUCAAACUUGUUUGAGUUCUCUCAGGUCUAUCGUCGAACUCAUAGUAGUGACAUUUUGGUUGUUGCUUUGACAUUUUUGUUUGUUCUGUAUUGUGACAUACAGUAAGUAAAUAUCAAUGGAGUUUCUUGAAGGAAGCAGAGGAAUCUACAGACCCAUCAAGGUGUUUGAAACAAUCAUAUAUGAUCGGGCUCUGCAGCUCUGCUGGCAUAUAAAGAGUUACAAGUCCCAGAUUGCACUGGUGAUGGAACUCCUCAAGCUUCAGCAGAAAAACCAGAUCCCAUCUCAGGUGACUGCUGAAGACAUGAUCGACCUCAUUUUGGAGGAGAGCAAAA